rnacentral:rRNA from 1 species
UACAGAGGUCCCAAGCGUUGUUCGGAUUUACUGGGCGUAAAGGGUGCGUAGGCGGUCGGGUAAGUCUGAUGUGAAAUCUCCGAGCUUAACUCGGAAAUGGCAUUGGAUACUAUUCGGCUGGGAGAGUUGGAGGGGGACUGGAAUACUUGGUGUAGCAGUGAAAUGCGUAGAUAUCAAGUGGAACACCCAGUGGCGAAGGCGAGUCCCUGGACAACUUCUGACGCUGGAGGCACGAAAGCUAGGGAGCAAACAGG